CUGUUCAACAGUGAGACCCCCUGCAUAUGUGUGACCUGUUCCUCCUGGGAGACCAGCCCUAAACUAGUUUGAACCUGACCAGGUUCUGUCUACACAGGAGACCUCUCCAAGUCCUGUCUGCACUGAUGAUGCUUAAUGAGACUGUGCACUUUCUGCAGUGGGAACAUUUAGCCUUGACCUUGUACUCUUUGCACUGGGACAUGGGGACCCGGGUGGAGGCCUGGCCUGGCCUCUGUCUGGGAAACUCCGUGCCUGCAUCUGAGUGUCAGUGCUCAGAUGUCUGGGCUCUGGGGCUGGGUAGGCUUCUCUGGGAGCGAUGCUCUCCUCUGAGUGGGCUUCCCUGGCCCUCCCGGGGGUCAGUGCUGCGGUCGGGCUCCUAGUCUGUCCCCUGCCAGGUUCAUCUCCCUGGGGCUCCUGGAGACCCCUCAGUUGGGCUCCCUGGUAAUUACUCCAAUUUUCCAGCACAUUCAGGUUGAGUAGGGAGGCAGGUUCACCUGGUGAAUUGAUUCCAGGGCACAGGGAUCACGCAAAAAGUCAAUGGGCAGCAGGUGAGGUUGCUGCUGUGACCUCCUCCCAGUCUACUCUCUCCUCGAAUGAGAACAGAGCUGCCCCUCGUCUCUCAGCCCAGCUCUCCUGUUUUCUCAGCACCUCAGCGGGACAAGAAGGACAGAGCCUGCCAGAACCAAGUUGACCAUCCCUACUUAGCAGAGACCAGACCUGCCCCUCGUCUCCCAGCCCUGCACCUGGUGUGUUUUCUCAACACCUCAGUGGAACAAGAAAGGACUGAGCCUGCCAGAACCAAGGUAGUGUUCAACAUUAUCAUGACAGCUGUAAAAACAGUUAAUAUCACACAGAACCAAAGGGAAGAGACGAGGGCUUUUCUGGGACAAGUGUGGGGAGAGGAGACCGACCCUACACUUCUUUCUACCAUCCCAGGAGGUUACAGGAACCCACUCAUUUCCACCUUAGAAUCCCAACCAGCAGAGACCUGGGGUCCUAACCAAGGGUCGUGGGACCCCAGGUCCUGGGUCUAG
rnacentral:lncRNA from 1 species